GCUUGGACAUUAUAGUUCUGACAGUUAUUCAUGACAAAUUUCAAAACCAAAGUCUGUUUCUACUUGUAGGAUAUUCUAAGUCUGGAAAGCACUCCCCUAAGAAAUUCAAGACAAUGGAGAAGCCUCUUGUUUGCCAGAAUUUAUUGUAGAAUGGAAAGAAAUACAAAGUGGCCUAGGGCAAUAGCUAAUUGAGACCAUGUAUUACCAGCAAGGCAUCUGCACUGAGGGCACUGUGGGAGCGCUGUGUGAGACGCAGGCACCUGUCAGAAAGGGGGCUAAAUUUCAAACAAGGAACAUAGUGUUGCAUCACAACGAACUAAGUGACUGAGUUCAAUAUAAUCAGAAUUGAACCAUUUCAAAAAGCACAAGCAGUGAUUGCCAGUAACCAGAUAAUAACCGAGUUUGAGCUCCCACUUCUGCUCCUUUCCUCUGAUGAAUUCUCAUUUUCCCUGGCCUCCCCCAUUGGCAUUCAUCCAGUACCAUGGAUCAGCCUUCCUGGAGCCACAUCCAGCUUAGAAAGAUGAAGGACUUUCAGCCUUUUGGGAGAUGACAAUAUAUUAUCAAAAUCAAC
rnacentral:lncRNA from 1 species